rnacentral:rRNA from 1 species
UACGAAGGGGGCUAGCGUUGUUCGGAAUUACUGGGCGUAAAGCGCACGUAGGCGGAUCGAUUAGUCAGGGGUGAAAGCCCAGAGCUCAACUCUGGAACUGCCUUUGAUACUGUCGAUCUGGAGCAGAGUAGAGGUGAGUGGAAUUCCGAGUGUAGAGGUGAAAUUCGUAGAUAUUCGGAGGAACACCAGUGGCGAAGGCGGCGACCUGGACAGAUAUUGACGCUGAGGUGCGAAAGCGUGGGGAGCAAACAGG